ensembl:lncRNA
GGUCACAAGGUGGACUGACAAGCUGGGUAAAAAUUGAGUUAAAUUACGAUCUCUAUGGGGUAAGUGGAUGCAGACAAAGAUAUAACAAGGAAAACAUAUGUAAUCUAUCCAAUAUCGUUGGUUCGUUUUGGGGUUCGUAUUCGUUGGGUCCAGGAUCUAGACCACAUUGGUGUGCUCGUCGCGAUGGAAGAUCUUCACGUCGACGAACUUGAAGUUGUGGACAUCGAAGUAGUAGUCAUGCUUCACCGGCCUGUUGAAGGGGAAACCGAAGGGCAGGGCGUCCACGUAGCGGGAACCGUGUCCCACGCCGCAGCUGACCACCGGAUCGUAGCCAGUGAAUUGGGCAACCUCGGGCUGGUGGUACGGGUAGACCAUGUAGAAGAACUGGAACACCUGGCCGCCCUUCUUGCCGCGCGGCAGCAUCAUUCGGUUGGGCACGCCGCAAUGGGCCUCCGACUGGUCCAGCUUGAACUUGUAGUCACUGUUGGUGGCGUCCAUCAGCUUCUGGUAGAGCUCCAGGUAGGUGGUGCGAUCGUUCACCCAGAAGGAGAAGUCACCGCUGGCGCGCUUGAUGUGGUUAACGCCCGCCUCCAGAUGCACCUUGAAGUGCUCCAGCUCGAAGAAGUUCUGGUAGUUGUGCUCCAGUGGGAUCUCGUGUCCGUGCUCAUCGUACUUGGGUCCAAUGAAGACCUUCACAACGGCAUCCUGAGCCUUGUCCGAGGUCACGUCCAGGGUGAACUCGAAGGGCUUGUGGUUGAGACGCUGCUGGCGGGCCUUGAUCACAUAGCUGGAUCCCUUGUAGUGGGAGUUCCUGCCGAAGGUGUACAACGGAUCGGCGGAUCCCUCAACGGCGGGCUCCACAUUGACGGCAUUGCUGAUGUCCGAGUCGAAGUGCUCGAAGUAGGUGGUCAGACUUUCGGGCAUGUGGACGGCAUCGAUGUGGACACCCUCGAAGGCGUAAUCCUUCUUGUGGUACUCCGGAUAGGUCUCCAUCAGAUGCCAGUAGUGGCUGACAAUGGUCUUGUAUACCUCGUAGAAGAUCGGAUCGCGCAUAGAGGUGUCGUAGUGCAUGAAAAGGCCAGGGAAGCUCUCGUCACCAUGGCCAUAAUGGUGGCCCUCGUUCACAAUGAAGCGGUACAGCUUGUCCAGACUGCCGUAGAACUUCUUGUCCACGCUGUCCGCAUUGCCCUGGAUGAUGUUGCCCAGCACAUUGAUGGUCUCCACAUCGAACUUCUCGUUCUUGUGGAUCCAGUCC